rnacentral:tRNA from 1 species
GCUAGUGUGGCUCAGUGGUAGAGCAUUGGCCCAUACAUCAAGGGGUCCCAGGUUCGAUUCCUGGUCAAGGGCA